rnacentral:rRNA from 1 species
GUCUAUGGUCAUGCUACCCUGAACACGUCUGAUCUUGACUGAUCUCGGAAGCUAAGCAGGGUCAGGCCUGGUUAGUACUCCAAAGGGAGAACACCUAGGAAGACCAGAUGCUGUAAGUG